CCUACGGGAGGCAGCAGUGGGGGAUAUUGCACAAUGGGGGGAACCCUGAUGCAGCGACGCCGCGUGGGUGAAGAAGCGCCUCGGCGCGUAAAGCCCUGUCAGCAGGGAAGAAAAUGACGGUACCUGAAGAAGAAGCCCCGGCUAACUACGUGCCAGCAGCCGCGGUAAUACGUAGGGGGCAAGCGUUAUCCGGAUUUACUGGGUGGAAAGGGGGCGCAGACGGCGAUGCAAGCCAGGAGUGAAAGCCCGGGGCCCAACCCCGGGACUGCUCUUGGAACUGCGUGGCUGGAGUGCAGGAGAGGCAGGCGGAAUGCCUGGUGUAGCGGUGAAAUGCGUAGAUAUCAGGAGGAACACCGGUGGCGAAGGCGGCCUGCUGGACUGCAACUGACGUUGAGGCCCGAAAGCGUGGGGAGCAAACAGGAUUAGAUACCCUAGUAGUC
rnacentral:rRNA from 1 species